AGAGUUAAUAAAAAACAGUCGCUUUUAUAAUUAAAUAAAAGAGGAAAGUCCGGACUCCAUAGGGUAUGGUGCCAGAUAAUUUCUGGGAAGUGUAAACUUACGAAUAGUGCAACAGAAAAAAUACCGCUAAUUUAAUAUUUACAAUAUUAGUAAGGGUGAAAAGGUAUGGUAAAAGCAUACCGGUAUAUUAGUAAUAAUAUAUGUCAAUGUAAACUCCACCAGGAGCAAGGCUAAAUAUAGGUUUGUAUUACCCGUACUAUAAACCGGGGUCAGCUGCUUGAAAUAAUAAGUAAUUAUUAUUCUAGAUAAAUGACUGUUCUAAGACAGAAUCCGGCUUAAAAAAUAACUUUAUAA
rnacentral:RNase_P_RNA from 1 species